UGGGGAAUAUUGGACAAUGGGGGCAACCCUGAUCCAGCAAUGCCACGUGUGUGAAGAAGGCCUUAGGGUUGUAAAGCACUUUCAUUAGUGAGGAAGGUAUUUAGGUUAAGAGCUAAGAUACUUGACGUUAACUAAAGAAGAAGCACCGGCUAACUCUGUGCCAGCAGCCGCGGUAAUACAGAGGGUGCAAGCGUUAAUCGGAAUUACUGGGCGUAAAGCGUCCGUAGGUUGUUAUUUAAGUCAGAUGUGAAAGCCCUGGGCUCAACCUAGGAACUGCAUCUGAUACUGGAUAACUGGAGUGCAGUAGAGGGAAGAGGAAUUUCUGGUGUAGCAGUGAAAUGCGUAGAUAUCAGAAGGAACAUCGGUGGCGAAGGCGUCUUCCUGGACUGACACUGACACUGAGGGACGAAAGCGUGGGUAGCAAACAGG
rnacentral:rRNA from 1 species